rnacentral:lncRNA from 1 species
GGCUACAAGACGCCCCAGACGACCUCGUCCCCUGGAUCGAACCCUAGCGCCAUUCCCUCCUUCCCCGCACCACUUUUCUUCUCCCCUGCGUACACCCAAGCACAUCGUCGCCAUGGCCGUCGUCGAUUCACGCGCCCAUCGUCGACCUUGGUCCCAAGGACCUUGCCCAAAAGAACGGGCACCGUCUGCUACGUCGUCUAUGCCGACCCGGUCGAGUUGGGAUCCCCAACAACGAACGCAUCAUCGUCUUCUUCCUCUGCCCGUCGGUGAUCUCCUUCGAUCCGCUGCCGUUGGUCCACCCCAGCGUCCACGAGCCGUUCGCACGACCUCACGGUGAGCACCACAGCAAACCCCCCUGUUUCCUAUUCAAAUUACACCCCGUAGAUGCCAUCCCCACCUGUAGCCGACCCCGUUGUUCGCCAUGGCCGCUAGCUCGACCGUCUCGAGCGCCUCUGCCCCAUGCUCUCGCAUGCCUAUGGUCGUCGUUGUUUCACUGCGUUUGCACACGCCCGUGGCCGCGAUCCCGCGAGCCCCUGCUAGUCUGCCGUGUUCCCCGUGCAUGCCUGCCCCUGCCGCUGCUUGCUACUGCUACUACGCUGCCUACCGCUGCUCUGUUGGCCUCGUAGCUGUUGCUGCUGUACUGCCGCCGCUAGCCACUGCUAGGUGCUGAUGCCGCCCUCUGCUGCUUAGCUAAGUUCCUGCAGCUGCUGCUAUUGCUUAGCUGCUUAGUUCCUGUCGCUUAGCUGCUGCCGAGCGUUGCUUGCUGCUGCUAAUGGACAUGGCCGUGGCUAUGCUAUGUGCGUGGGUGUGCACAACAAUCACUGGCUGGCCGUGCAAUUAGAUUAGGGAGUAAUUAGUAGUACUAGCUAGGUUUGUUACUACACUAUGACAUAUGGCCCCACUGUUAAUUAAAGAAAACGGCUAAUCUAAUUAAGCUUGAAAAAAUGACAAGUGGCACCCACAACAUUAUUCACGUUUUGACCAGUCAACUUUUGACUAGGUCAACUCAGUCAAUGACCCCACCUACCAGCCUGAUAUGCAACACCCUGGGUACAUUCCCUGGGUACCUAUAGCAAUUUAUUUUUAUUUCCGAAUUAAUAAUAAAUCGAGGAAUUUAAGAAGAACUUUAAAACUUUAGAAAAUUAUAUAAAAUAAUCUGUAAACCGGAUGAAAAUACUUUGUACAUGAAAGUUGCUUAGAACGACGAGGCGAAUUCGAAUAUGCAGUCUGUUCCUCUGUCACAUGUCCCUAGCAUAGCGAACCUACAACCGUCCUCCUCCGGUCCGUCUGUCUGAAAAUGCCUAGCACCGGGAAUACUUUUCCAGAUGUUUUCCCCCUUCGCCAGUAGCACCUAGUACUGCGUAACGUCACCUCUAGCACCGCGUAUUGCCAUGUUACGCUUUGUGAUCCUUUGAUUGCUCUAUUAUUUAUUGUGUUCCCCCUCCGUUACUUCUUUUCGGUAAACCCUGUGACUGCCGGCGACCCCCAGUUCGACUACGGUGUUGACGACCCGUCCUUCUCUGCCGAGCUUCCAGGCAAGCCCCCCCUAUGAUCAACCCGAUAUCACCUAUUCCUUCUCUCUAUUGCAUGCAUUAGAGUAGUGUAGCAUGUUACUAUUUUCGGUUAAUCCUAUUCUGUCGCAUAGCUUGUCAUUGUUGCUGCAGUUGUUGAUACCUUACCUGCAAUCCUAAAUGCUUAGUAUAGGAUGCUAGUUUAUCAUCAGUGGCCCUACAUUCCUGUCCGUCUGCUAUGCUAUAUUAUUGGGUCGUGGUCACUUCGGGAGGUGAUCACGGGUUUAUACAUACUACACUAUUAUACAUGAUACAUGGUGGUGACUAAAGUCGGGUCGGCUCGUAGAGUACCCGCAAGUGAUUCCAAUGUGGGGCUUGAAAGGACAGGUGGUUCCAUCCAGGUAGUGUUGGGCCUGUGUUCCUGACGGCCCUGACUGUUACUUCGUGGUGGAGCGACCAGACGGGUUGAGAUCACCUAGGUGAGAGGUGGGCCUGGCCCUAGUCGGCAUCUGCGGUUACUUCAAAAUAACACGCUUAAUGAGAUCUUCGUAUUUGAUCUGAGUCUGGCCACUGGCCUAUACGCACUAACUAACUACGCGGGAACAAUUAUGGGCACUCGACGUCGUGGUAUCAGCCGAAGCCUUCUUGACGUCAGCGACUAAGCGACGCGCGCCGAAUUGGACUGGAACACCUGCUCUUGUAUGAGGGAGGCUAAGUCUGCUUCCAGCCGCCCUCGCAAUAUGCAGGUGUGCAAUGGGCGAUGGGCUCAGACCCCUGCGCCUUAGGAUUUAGACCGGCAUGUUGACCUCUCUAUUGUGCCUAGGUAGGGCUGCGACGUGUUGAUCUUCUGAGGACGGGCAUGACCCAGGAAAGUGUGCCCGGCCAGAGAGAUCGACCGUGUUGGGUUAUGUGGUGCACCACUGCAGGGAAGUUUAUCUAUUCGAAUAGCCGUGUCCCUCGGUUAAAGGACGACCCGGAGUUGUACCUCGACCUUAUGACAACUAGAACCGGAUACUUAAUAAAACACACCCUUUCAAGUGCCAGAUACAACCCUGUGAUCGCUGUCUCACAGGGCGACGAGGAGAGGAUUGUCGGGUAGGGUUAUGCUAUGCGAUGAUACUUGGUGAACUUACCAUCUACUCUCUUCUACAUGCUGCAAGAUGGAGGCUGCCAGAAGCAUAGUCUUCGACAGGACUAGCUAUCCCCCUCUUAUUCUGGCAUUUUGCUGUUCAGUCCACCGAUAUUGCCCCUUUACAUAUAUAUACCCAUGCAUAUGUAGUGUAGAUCCUUGCUUGAGAGUACUUUGGAUGAGUAAUCACAGUUGCUCUACUUCCUUUUCCCCUUUUCCCGGUUAUUGCAAUCAUAUGAUGGAGCCCAGGAGCCAGAGGAUCCCGAGGAUGAUUCUACGUGGAGUUUGACUUCGAGGAGUAGUUAGGAGGGCCCCAGGCAGGAGGCCUUGCCUUUUCGAUCGUUGCUACUUUUGUGCUAGCCUUCUUAAGGAAAACUUGUUUAACUUAUGUUUAUACUCAGAUAUUGUUGCUCCCACUGACUCUUCUGUAUUUGAGCUUAUGUAUUCGAACCCACAAGGCCCCUAGCUUGUAAUAUAAAGCUUGUAUUAUUUUAAUUUGUGUCUAGAGUUGUGUUGUGAUAUCUUCCCGUGAGUCCUUGAUCUUGAUCGUACACAUUUGCGUGUAUGAUUAGUGUACGGUCAAAUCGAGGGCAUCACAAGUUGGUAUCAGAGCCGACUGCCUGUAGGAAUCCCCCUUCCAAACUCCUUGGCCGAAGUUGAGUAUAGUCAUUGCAUAAUUUUACUAACAUGGUUGUGUGCCUUACGGGCCCACGUCGCCAUUUGGGUGGUACUAGGAUCUUUUACUCCUCGAUCUAUGCUCUAGGACUCUAAUCUCUCUACUAUUCGGGUUAAAUGAUUUUGCUAAAAUCUAACUUUAGGAUCUCACGAUCACAUCCACCCGAAGGGCCCCUUAUUACAGAUGAUCGCCGGCUGCACCGGAAGAUUCCUAAGAUACUCUACGAUGUUUUCUCGUUACUUUCUGCCACAAUUCGAAGAGAUAAUUCCUAAGAUGAUCAAACCAAACUGAUAAUUCGAAGAGACUUGCAAAGAUAUUUAAAUCAUGCAUAAAAGAUUUCAGAGAAGAAUCAAAUAUUGUUCAUAGAUAAUCUUGAUCAUAAACCCACAAUUCAUUGGAUCUUGACAAACACACCGCAAAAAGAAUUACAUCGAAUAGAUAUCCAAGAAGAUCGAGGAGAACUUUGUAUUGAGAUCCAAAGAGAGAGAAGAAGCCAUCUAGCUAAUAACUAUGGACCCGAAUGUCUAAGGUAAACUACUCACACAUCAUCGGAGUGGCUAUGGUGUUGAUGUAGAAGCCCUCCGUGAUUGAUUCCCCCUCCGACGGAGCUCCGAAAAAGGCCCCAAGAUGGGAUCUCUUGGGUCAAAAGGUUGCGGCGGAGGAAAUAGGAUUUCGUGGUGCUCCUGGAUGUUUUCGGGGUAUAUGGAUAUAUAUAGGAGGAAGAAGUAGGUUGGUGGAGCCGCGAGGGGCCCAUGAGGGUGGGGGCGCGCCUCCCUGCCUCGUGGCCGCCUCGCUUCUUUCUUGACGUUUACACCAAGUCCCCUGGAUCAUGUUUGUUCCAAAAAUAACUCUCCCAAAGGUUUCAUUCCGUUUGGAUUCCGUUUGAUAUUCUUUGUCUAUGAAACACUGAAAUAGGCAAAAAAAAGCAAUUUGCACUAGGCCUUGGGUUAGUAGGUUAGUCCCAAAAAUAAUAUAAAAGUGUAUAAAUAAGCCCAUUAAAUAUCCAAAACAGAUAAUAUAAUAGCACGGAACAAUAAAAAAUAAUAGAUACGUUGGAGACGUAUUAGUCGGCCGUGUUCCCCGUGCACGCCUGCCCCUGCCGUUGCUUGCUACUGCUACUGCGCUGCCUACCGCUGCUCUGUUGGCCGCGUAGCUGCUACUGCUGUACUGCCGCCGCUAGCCGCUGCUAGGUGCUGAUGCUGCCCUCUGCUUCUUAGCUAGUUAGUUCAUGCAGCUGCUGCUAUUGCUUAGCUGCUUAGUUCUCGCGGCUUAGCUGCUGCCGAGCGUUGCUUGCAGCUGCUAAUGGACAUGGUCGUGGCUAUGCUAUGUGUGUGGGUGUGCAUAACAAUCACUGGCUGGCCGUGCAAUUAGAUUAGGGACUAAUUAGUAGUACUAGCUAGGUUAGUUACUACACUAUGGCAUAGGGCCCCACUGUUAAUUAAAGAAAAUGACUAAUCUAAUUAAGCUAGAGAAAAUGACAAGUGGGACCCACAACAUUAUUCACCUUUUGACCAGUCAACUUUUGACUGGGUCAACUCAGUCAAUGACCCCACCUACCAGCCUGAUAUGCAACACCCUGGGUACAUUCCCUGGGUACCCAUAGCAAUUUCUUUUUAUUUUCGAAUUAAUAAUAAAUCAAGGAAUUUUAGAAGAACUUUAAAACUUUAGAAAAUUAUAUAAAAUAAUCCAUAAAUUGGAUGAAAAUACUUUGUAUAAGAAAGUUGCUCAGAACGACGAGAUGAAUUCGAAUACGCAGUCCGUUCCUCCGUCACACGUCCCUAGCAUAGCGAACCUGCAACCAUCCUCCUCUGGCCCGUCUGUCCAAAAAUGCCUAACACCGGGAAUACUUUCUCGGAUGUUUUCCCCCUUCGCCAGUAGCACCUAGUACUGCGUUAUGUCACCUCUAGCACCACGUAUUGCCAUGUUACGCUUUGUGAUGCUUUAAUUGCUCUAUUAUUUAUUGUGUUCCCCCUCCGUUACUUCUUUUCGGUAGACCCCGUGACUGCUGGCGACCCCCAGUUCGACUACGGUGUUGAUGACCCGUCCUUCUCUACCGAGCUUGCAGGCAAGCCCCCUAUGAUCAACCCGAUAUUGCCUAUUCCUUCUCUCUACUGCUUGCACUAGAGUAGUGUAGCAUGUUACUAUUUUUGGUUAAUCAUAUUCUGUUGCAUAGCCUGUGAUUGUUGCUACAGAUGUUGAUGCCUUACCUGCAAUCCUAAAUGCUUAGUAUAGGAUGCUAGUUUAUCAUCAGUGGCCCUACAUUCUUGUCCGUUUGCUAUGCUAUAUUAUCAGGCCGUGGUCACUUCGGGAGGUGAUCACAGGUUUAUACAUACUACACUAUUAUACAUGAUACAUGGUGGUGACUAAAGUCGGGUCGGCUCGUAGAGUACCAGCAAGUGAUUCCGAUGUGGGGCUGAAAGGACAGGUGGUUCCACCCAGGUAGUGGUGGGCCUGGGUUCCUGAUGGCCCCAACUGUUACUUUGUGGCAUAGCGACAGGACAGGGAGAGACCACCUAGGUGAGAGGUGGGCCUGGCCCUAGUCGGCGUCUGCGGUUACUUCAAAAUAACACGCUUAAUGAGAUCUUGGUAUUUGAUCUGGGUCUGGCCACUGGCCUAUACGCACUAACCAACUACACGGGAACAGUUAUGGGCACUCGACAUCGUGGUUUCAGCCAAAUCCUUCCUGACGUCAGCGACUGAGUGGCGUGCGCCGCAUUGGACUGGAACGCCUUCUCUUGUAUUAGGGAGGCUAGGUCUACUUCCGGCCGCCCUCGCAACGUGCAGGUGUGCAAUGGGUGAUGGGCCCAGACCCCUGCGCCUUAGGAUUUAUACUGGCGUGCUGACCUCUCUGUUGUGCCUAGGUAGGGCUACAACGUGUUAAUCUUCUGAUGCUGGGCAUGACCCAGGAAAGUGUGCCCGGCCAGAGGGGUCGAGCGUGUUGGGUUAUGUGGUGCACCCCUGCAGGGAAGUUUAUCUAUUCGAAUAGUUUUGUCCCUCGGUAAAAGACGACCGAGAGUUGUACCUCGACCUUAUGACAACUAGAACCGAAUACUUAAUAAAACACACCCUUUCAAGUGCCAGAUACAACCCGGUGAUCUUUCUCUCAUAGGACGACGAGGAGAGGAUCGUCGGGUAGGGUUAUGCUAUGCGAUGAUACUUGGUGAACUUACCAUAUACUCUAUUUUACAUGCUGCAAGAUGGAAGCUUCCAGAAGCGUAGUUUUCAACAUGACUAACAAUCCCCCUCUUAUUCUGGCAUUCUGCAGUUCAGUCCACAGAUAUUGCCCCUUUACACAGAUACCCAUGCAUAUGUAGUGUAGAUCCUUGCUUGAGAGUACUUUGGAUGAGUACUCACGGUUGCUUUGCUACUUCUUUUUCCCCUUUUCCUGGUUAUUGCGAUCAUAUGAUGGAGUCCAGGAGCCAGAGGAUCCCGAGGAUGAUUCUACGUGGAGUUCGACUUCAAGGAGUAGUUAGGAGGGCC